UAUGGGUAAACAUGGCGCUGUGUUAUGUGUACUGUAUACAUACAAAAACAUUAGACUUGGAUCCACAAUAACACGGAUUUAAUUAGAGCUUUGAUAACAAUGCCGUUGUAAAAGAAAGGAAAAGUGAUGUUAUUAACAAAUUCAAUAAUUCUUAAUACGUCAGAGGAGAGGAAUUUCGAGGAAUUUGGCUGAAUUUGUAGAAAUUAUGAUCAGUAAAUAGGAAACAAGGAGUGCAUAGCCAUAGGCAUAGGAUGAUCUGAUGAUAGGAGGAUUAUUUAAACCGGUUUCAUUACCUGUAAAAAUGGGCAAACGUGUUUUGUUAUGAAAUGACAACACUGUUCAUUUUACAUUUAAUGGCUGGCAAUAUCAACAGUUGUUGAAGUUACGAGAAAUCAGUAAUAAACGAUAAAGGAUUAAUAAUUUAUGACAUAGCACUUGUCCAUGUCGUCUAUUAUUAAAGCUUAUCAUAAGUGUAGCACUAGCAGGUACGAAUAAUUUCUUUACAUGAUAGCUAAUAAGUUCUGAGUUUCACAGCCCAUUGAAUAGAAAUGUCAUAUUUUAGGUAUGUAUAAUAAAAGCCAACACUUGUUAGUUUUCUCUUUUUUCUUUACAUGUGUGUGUUUUUAUUUAUCUCGUGGCCACGAGUUACUAAGUCACAGUGACGCUAAGUGUAAAAUUAGCGACAAGUCAAUAAGUUGUAUAAAUUGCACUUUUACAGGCUGGUGAAGUAGGGGUAUCCUUGUACUACAGCACAUGUCUAGUUAAUUGGGGAAAGUAACACAAAUGGUGUAAUCUGAUUGGUUAUUUAUCACAUGGCCACGACUAAGCUAUCUCGUGGCCACGACAUAGUAUAUGUGGCCACGACUUAGUAACUCGUGGCCACGACAUAGUAUCUCGUGGCCACGACUUAGCUAUCUCGUUGCCACGACUUAGUAACUCGUGACCACGACAUUGUAUCUCGUGGCCAUGAGAUAAAUAAAAACACACACGUCACAUUUGUGCCACCGUAAAAAUCAUAUAAUAUCUAGAUAUAUUUUUAUCAAAGUAAUUUUAUUUCAAGCACAUCAAUAAAGCAAUUCGUCUUUCUGUCAUUGCAGGUUCUUAUUGGACUUCGAUACCUCGCAAAAGGCCAUUUCAUAUCAGAAGUUGGAGACCUCCACAGGGUGUCUAAAGCCAGAGCUGCCAUUUACAUUCACCAAUUCAUACGAAGUGUAAACCUUCGAUUAAAGAAUAUUAGUGUUUAUUUAGUGAAAGAAGCCAAAAUGUGGUGACCCAUAAUGAGUUACCAUCAUAUCAUAAAAAUGAUGCUCAAAUUAAGAUUUAUCAAUUUUGUAAGUAUUUAAAAAAAUAUUUCAUGUAUAUAAAGGGAGGUGAUAAAAAGAUUAUUUUCUACUAAGUCUGAGUCAAAUUUUUCAAUAAGAAAUGAAUGCAUAUAUUUUGAUUAUUACAUAUUGUAUGGACAAAUAUUUGAAGUACAUACUUUACAUAUUCAUCAAUGUUUGAAAAUUGUUUUAUAAGCAUAAUUAUAUACAUAUAUAUAUAUAUAGUUUUACUUACACGUGGUACUGAACACUUAACACUUGUAUGAAUUAUCGAGUUCCAGCAAACCAAACUCUGGAACAUAAUUUACCAUUUGUAAUGAAAAUAAUAAUUUUUUUGUGAAAAACAUAAGUCUAUAUCAUACAUGUAACAAACAGUGACCUUUUCUUGGCCCACCAUAUGAAAAACGUGUUAUUCAUGUGUAUCCAUAUGAAAAACAUGUGUUUGCAUCAUAUGUAAAACAUAUGGAGCACUUUUCUGGAAGAAACCAUAUGUUUUUACCAUAUGUAAAACAUGUGUGUCACAUACAUUUAACAUGCUGUGCAUAAUUUACCGGUGUACUUACAUGGGUUUUGUCUGAUAUUAUCAGUGCCCUUUCUGAACUUCGAAAAAAAAAUGCAUUAUGCCAGCUCUUUUUGUUUUAAGAAUAGUUGGCAUUACCCUUAAUGGACUUCUAAUGAUAUUAGUAAAUGCUUGUGCUAACAUCAUACUAAAUGAUUAAGGACAAAAAUAUUUUUUCUUUCUGAUUUUAUCUAGCUUUUGUGAAUUUUCUAAAGAAAACUAUAUGUCAUCUGACAAUAACUGCUUUAUGAUAACCUAUCAUUUUUCAGACACAUUUAGAACAAAGUAAUAAUGGGUUGUUAUUGGGGGAUAGUGGGUACCCUCUAAGGAGGUACCUCUUGACCCCAAAGGUGAAUCCGACAACACCACAAGAGGAAGCCUUCAAUAAACACCAUAGCAGAGGCAGAAUGGUGGUAGAAAAAGCCUUUGGUAUACUGAAGUGACGUUUCAGAUACCUACACAAAAGUGGAGGUGUUCUACCGUUUUCACCAGAAAAGAGCAGCCAAGUUGUGGUAGCAUGUAUGAGGCUACAUAACUUUUGUAAAACUAGAGGAGUACAAGAGCCUGUGGAGAU